rnacentral:sRNA from 1 species
UCCCGACUUGCGAAGGAGGAGUUGAUGC